ACCGGAUCCCAUCCGAACUCCGAAGUUAAGCGGCGCAAGGCCCGGAUAGUACUGGGGUGGGGGACCGCCCGGGAAGUCCUUAGGGUGCUGCUGGCU
rnacentral:rRNA from 1 species